rnacentral:tRNA from 1 species
GAGGGUAUAGCUCAGUGGUAGAGUGUAUACCUAGGAUGCAGGAGGUCCUGGGUUCAAUCCCCAGUACCUCCA